rnacentral:lncRNA from 1 species
CCGGGCACAGCUCAGUUUUACACGUUAGGGAGACGUGAGGCAUCGACCCAUAUGUGUAAGAGGAACAUUGGUUCGGUCCGGACAACUCCACAAGGGGAGGGGGACAUUCCGCAAGGGAUUUCCUAGUGGGCAAAUUGUGAGAGGUAUGUAGGGUUUUUUUAAAUCUUUGCAGCUAUUUUAUUUAGAAAUAAAAUGGGAAGCAGGUUUGCCUGACGCAGUUUCCAGCUUGACUUACCUUUGCUGAGUGAUUUUGGGGUCCGGAAACGUAUGUUCCGUCCAUCAUGAAGGGCCCCAGCCUAUCCCAUCACAGUGAGGGGUGGGGCAUGACCUGGAGCCGCAGUUGGCAACGGGAGUGGCUUUAGCACCCCGACCACCCUAACAUCUUGCACUGUCUGGGGGCUCCCCGGGCUCAGCAACACCCACCUCUGUGGCUGGGAGCUGGGCUCAGCCACAUCCCUGCAACUUCUCCGGGACACCGCCAUCCAGCUACGCCAAGGCCUGACGGCGGCUCCAUGUUUCCUGCCAAUGGCGGUGCUAUUAAUUUAUACAGAAAGCUCACAUUUGCCAUCACUCCCCUUUACGAAUCGCUUCACCCUCUGACCAGAUCCCCUCACAGUCACUUUCUAGAACUCAUUCUGGUGCCAGCUAUCUUUAUGGACAGAAAACUACAUUUUGAAAUCAAAUCAAGUGUGUUCUAUUUUCCAUCCAAAUAAAUCUGGAGCACUUUCUGCCUCUUUGGAUGCUCUCUUAAAACUACCUUUUAGCUAUGCCAUAGCACACAAAUUCAAAAUGCCUUCAAAUGUUGAAUCAUCUUUUAUUGUGUUUUUGUGUUGUUAAGUUGAUGAAUCCUUACGAACGUAAAAUAAAAAGGCAAUGGAUACAGUUGAAGGAGAGUUUGGGUUCUUUGUGAGGAGUGAAGGUUCUGAGUUAUCUGACAUCUCCCUUUGACGCUUUGCACGAGUACUUUC